UUGACCUCAAAUCAGGUAGGACUACCCGCUGAACUUAAGCAUAUCAAUAAGCGGAGGAAAAGAAACUAACAAGGAUUCCCCUAGUAACUGCGAGUGAAGCGGGAAGAGCUCAAAUUUAAAAUCUGGCGGUUCUUGACCGUCCGAGUUGUAAUCUAGAGAAGUGUUACCCGUGCUGGACCGUGUACAAGUCUCCUGGAAUGGAGCAUCAUAGAGGGUGAGAAUCCCGUCUUUGACAUGGACUGCCUGCACGUCUUGGUGCGCUCUCRAAGAGUCGAGUUGUUUGGGAAUGCAGCUCAAAAUGGGUGGUAAAUGCCAUCUAAAGCUAAAUAUUGGCGAGAGACCGAUAGCGAACAAGUACCGUGAGGGAAAGAUGAAAAGAACUUUGGAAAGAGAGUUAAACAGCACGUGAAAUUGCUGAAAGGGAAACGCUUGAAGUCAGUCGCGUUGGCUAGAAAUCAGCCUUGCUUUUGCUUGGUGUACUUUCUUGUUGACGGGUCAGCAUCAGUUUCGAUCGCUGGAUAAGGAUUUUGGGAAUGUGGCAUCCUUGGAUGUGUUAUAGCCCAUUGUCGCAUGCAGUGGUGGGGAUUGAGGAACUCAGCACGCCGCAAGGCCGGGUCUCUGACCACGCUCGUGCUUAGGAUGCUGGCAUAAUGGCUUUAAUCGA
rnacentral:rRNA from 1 species